rnacentral:lncRNA from 13 species
UAUCUUAGAUUCCAUUUCGGAUACUUCCAUUGGGACUCUGCAUCCCUGUGCUGGAACUCAAGUGAACACUUGGCUCAACAUCCAUUGCUCUUCUCUAGAAAUUCAGCCCAAUUCUUACGGUUUCAUAUAAGGACUGUGUGUCCCUGUGCUGGAACUCAGGUGAACACUUGGCUCAACAUCCAUUGCUGUUCUCUAGAAAUUCAGCCCAAUUCUCUUGGUGAAAGAUAAGGCUGGAGCGCAAUGGCGCGAUCUCGGCUCACCAGAAACAUCGCCACCCACGUUGAAGCAAUUCUCCUGCCUCACCCUUCCAGGACUGUGUGUCCCUGUACUGGAUGGAACUCAGGUGGACACUUGGCUCAACAUCCAUUGCUCUUCUCUAGAAAUUCAGCCCAAUUCUCUUGGUGAAAGAUAAGGUAUGUCUAGUGGGCAUUGCUUUUUCUCUUUGGGGACAAAACUGAGGAGGAGGAUUGCCCCUUGAUGAACAAGGCUAACCUGCUGAGCCUUUGAAGCAAGAAGCUAGAGAUGGUCCUUUUAGAGGUUUAUGUUCUGGAUUCCAGAAAAUACGCAGACAGGGCA